UUGGAGGGCAAGUCUGGUGCCAGCAGCCGCGGUAAUUCCAGCUCCAAUAGCGUAUAUUAAAGUUGUUGCAGUUAAAAGGCUCGUAGUUGAAUUUCGAGACCGGCUUAUUGGUCGUGCUAUUGUACGUACUGGUAUAAUCGGUUUCUCCUUUCUGACGAACUUUAAUGCCAUUAAUUUGGUGUUUUAGGGAAUCAGGACUGUUACUUUGAAAAAAUUAGAGUGUUUAAAGCAGGC
rnacentral:rRNA from 1 species